GUAGGUGGCGAGCGUUGUCCGGAAUUAUUGGGCGUAAAGCGCGCGCAGGCGGUUCUUUAAGUCUGAUGUGAAAGCCCACGGCUCAACCGUGGAGGGUCAUUGGAAACUGGCGAACUUGAGUACAGAAGAGGAAAGCGGAAUUCCACGUGUAGCGGUGGAAUGCGUAGAGAUGUGGAGGAACACCAGUGGCGAAGGCGGCUUUCUGGUCUGUAACUGACGCUGAGGCGCGAAAGCGUGGGGAGCAAACAGGAUUAGAUACCCUGGUAGUCCACGCCGUAAACGAUGAGUGCUAAGUGUUAGGGGGUUUCCGCCCCCCUUAGUGCUGCAGCUAACGCAUUAAGCACUCCGCCUGGGAGUACGGCCGCAAGGCUG
rnacentral:rRNA from 1 species